UCGCAUUGUCGAACACAACACUAAACAAAUCACAUCAGAAAAAAAAACAGAAAAAUUAAAAAAAGAAAAAAACAAUUUUCAAAUUUCAAUGGUCGAAAUUUGGAGGCCUUACCAGUGACGCUGCCCCAUACGAUGGCCGUGACGUCACUCCAACUUCAAGAUGCUGACUUCUCCAACGACGAGGCCAGCCACUACAGCGACACUGGCCAACGAGCCAAAGCCAAUACCAUCGACAAUGCAUCCUGGGUGGCCGGGAUGCCACAGCCACUCGGAUGCAACCAAUUCCAAUUAAUAGGAAACCUACUUAAAUUAUAAUGACUUAAUGGUUCUGCCAAAUCUGCCUUUCCGUCUCUACGACCGUGGCAGACGAGCGUAAUGGAAACGGAAGGAGGACGAAGGACGAAGCCGCAUAGAAGAAACGCCUGAGCCAUUGUUUCUUUUAUUUUUUUUUUCCACAUUUUGCUUUAUUAAAAAAAAUCCACUUUGUUCUUAAUCUCCAGUAAAAAGAAUUCCGAAAUAAUAUUUUUCAAAAUUUAAAA
rnacentral:sRNA from 1 species